rnacentral:rRNA from 1 species
AACGAACGCUGGCGGCAUGCCUAACACAUGCAAGUCGAACGAGAUCUUCGGAUCUAGUGGCGCACGGGUGCGUAACGCGUGGGAAUCUGCCCCUUGCUUCGGAAUAACAGUGAGAAAUUACUGCUAAUACCGGAUGAUGUCUUCGGACCAAAGAUUUAUCGGCAAGGGAUGAGCCCGCGUAGGAUUAGGUAGUUGGUGGGGUAAUGGCCUACCAAGCCGACGAUCCUUAGCUGGUCUGAGAGGAUGAUCAGCCACACUGGGACUGAGACACGGCCCAGACUCCUACGGGAGGCAGCAGUGGGGAAUAUUAGACAAUGGGCGAAAGCCUGAUCCAGCAAUGCCGCGUGAGUGAUGAAGGCCUUAGGGUUGUAAAGCUCUUUUACCAGGGAUGAUAAUGACAGUACCUGGAGAAUAAGCUCCGGCUAACUCCGUG